UACAGAGGUCCCAAGCGUUGUUCGGAUUCACUGGGCGUAAAGGGUGCGUAGGCGGUCGGGUAAGUCUGAUGUGAAAUCCCAUAGCUCAACUAUGGAACUGCUUGGUAUACUGGGUGUCUUGAGCCACUUAGGGGUUACCGGAACAAAUGGUGGAGCGGUGAAAUGCGUAGAUAUCAUUUGGAACGCCAAUGGUGAAAACAGGUAACUGGGAGUGUGCUGACGCUGAGACACGAAAGCCAGGGGAGCGAACGGG
rnacentral:rRNA from 1 species